rnacentral:rRNA from 1 species
GACGAACGCUGGCGGCGUGCUUAACACAUGCAAGUCGAACGGAAAGGCCCUGCUUGCUGGGUACUCGAGUGGCGAACGGGUGAGUAACACGUGGGUGAUCUGCCCUGCACUUCGGGAGAAGCCUGGGAAACUGGGUCUAAUACCGGAUAGGAGCCAUUUUUAUGGUGAUGGUUGGAAAGUUUUUUCGGUGUAGGAUGAGCUGGCGGCCUAUCAGCUUGUUGGUGGGGUAAUGGCCUACCAAGGCGGCGGCGGGUAGCCGGCCUGAGAGGGUGGACGGCCACAGUGAGACCGAGAUACGGCCCAGACUCCGACGGGAGGCAGAAGGGGGGAAGAUUGAACAAGGGGCGCAAGCCUGAUGCAGCGACGCCGCGGGGGGGAUAACGGCCUUCGGGUUGUAAACGCCUUUCGCUAGGGACGAAGCUUUUUGUGACGGUACCUAGAGAAGAAGCACCGGCUAACUACGUG